AUUGAACGCUGGCGGCAGGCCUAACACAUGCAAGUCGAACGAGUGGCGGACGGGUGAGUAAUGUCUGGGAAACUGCCUGAUGGAGGGGGAUAACUACUAGAAACGGUAGCUAAUACCGCAUACCAUCAGAUGUGCCCAGAAGGGAUUAGCUCGUAGGUGGGGUAAAGGCUCACCUAGGAGACGAUCCCUAGCUGGUCUGAGAGGAGGAACAGCCACACUGGAACUGAGACACGGUCCAGACUCCUACGGGAGGCAGCAGUGGGGAAUAUUGCACAAUGGGCGCAAGCCUGAUGCAGCCAUGCCGCGUGUGUGAAGAAGGCCUUCGGGUUGUAAAGCACUUUCAGCGGGGAGGCGUUACCCGCAGAAGAAGCACCGGCUAACUCCGUGCCAGCCGCCGCGGUAAUUC
rnacentral:rRNA from 1 species